GUGUAGCUCAGCAAUAGAGCACUUGCUUGGCAUGUGAGAGGCCCUGGGUUCAAUCCCCAGCAC
rnacentral:tRNA from 1 species